AUGCCUUUCUAUUUUAUCUCUCUCCUUUCCAUUCCCCUUUCUCUCUCUCUUGAUCUUUCGCCUUGCCAUCCCCAACUCUCUCUCUCUUGAUCGGAAAAAAUUCCAAAAUACCAGGCAAAAAUGGAAGUAUUUGGCUAUGGAGAUUGCCGAUCACACCAGACUUGAAGAAUUAGGAUCAAGAAUUGGGAGAUUCACAACUUACUCUGCGUAUUUUGAAUGGGGAACUGUAUGGGGCAGCGAGAGUAGAGCCUCUGGUUUGAAGUGUGGUGAUGAAGAUAGUUGGUUUCAAAGCCAUAAAGUAGAAGGCCUGAGAGCUUCUCGCUCAUGUAUUCUCUCUCUCUCUCUCUACUAAACUUUAAAACAAUUGAUGUAUUUUAUCUUGUGCUUACAUGAAUAAAGUUUUUCUUAUUUAAUGGGAA